CCUAGGGGAGGCAGCAGUGGGGAAUAUUGGGCAAUGGGCGCAAGCCCGACCCAGCAACGCCGCGUGAAGGAAGAAGGCUUUCGGGUUGUAAACUUCUUUUCUCAGGGACGAAGCAUGUGACGGUACCUGAAGAAUAAGCCACGGCUAACUACGUGACAGCCGCCGCUGUAAUAAGUAGGAGGCAAGCGUUAUGCGGAUUUAAUGGGUGUAAAGGGCGUGUAGGCGGGGACGCAAGUCAGAGGUGAAAAGCACGGGCUCAACCUGUGGCCUGCAUUUGAAACUGGGUUUCUUGAGUAAGGGAGAGGCAGACGGAAUUCCAAGUGUAGCGGUGAAAUGCGUAGAUAUAAGGAGGAACACCAGUGGCGAAGGCGGUCUGCUGGACAGCAACUGACGCUGAGGCGCGAAAGCGUGGGGAGCAAACAGGAUUAGAUACCCGUGUAGUC
rnacentral:rRNA from 1 species